GUAGCACAUAUACUACAUAUACUACAAUUGGAACAACACAGAGAAGAUUAGCAUGGCCCUUGCGCAAGGAUGACUUGCAAAUUUGUGGAGCAGAAAAAGUGUAA
rfam:Xenopus laevis strain J chromosome 1S, whole genome shotgun sequence.